GAUCAUGGCUCAGGAUGGACGCUAGCGGCAGGCUUAACACAUUCAAGUCGAGGGGCAGCAUAAUGGAUAGCAAUAUCUAUGGUGGCGACCGGCGCACGGGUGCGUAACGCGUAUGCAACCUACCUUUAACAGGGGGAUAACACUGAGAAAUUGGUACUAAUACCCCAUAAUAUCAUAGAAGGCAUCUUUUAUGGUUGAAAAUUCCGAUGGUUAGAGAUGGGCAUGCGUUGUA
rnacentral:rRNA from 1 species